AACGAACGCUGGCGGCGUGGAUAAGACAUGCAAGUCGAACGGGGACAACAGUCUGUAGCAAUACAGGUGUUGUUUAGUGGCGAACGGGUGCGUAACACGUGGGCAAUCUGCCGAGAAGUGGGGGAUAGCUCGCCGAAAGGCGAAUUAAUACCGCAUAUGAUCAGUGAAGACAUCUUCACGACAUCAAAGCCGGGGCAACCUGGCGCUUCUUGGAUGAGCCCGCGGCCUAUCAGCUAGUUGGUGAGGUAACGGCUCACCAAGGCUAUGACGGGUAGCUGGGUCU
rnacentral:rRNA from 1 species